UCUGUACGUGUGUGUGCUCGGUGUUCGCUAGUCUAGGGUGUUUCCUUGAGGAAUAUCUGUGUGACAGUUACAUGGAAUAGUUAUUUUUAGUCAGGUUUAUCUCUGGAAAGUGUUACGAGUGAUGACCAUCAUGUUCGAGCGGUUUUUAUUGCCGUACUGUGUGCGAUGUCAUGGAUACACCAGCGUUGAUCAAGGGACAGCGAUUUUCUCAGCUCUGAUUGUUCCAUUUGGAGGUGGUGUACAAGGACUCAUUCCACAUCUCGAGAUAUGUUCCAACACUUGCUACAAGCGUUUAAAUAAAUGCUGUUAAGUU
rnacentral:lncRNA from 1 species